GGCGGACGGGUGAGUAACGCGUGGCAAUGUGCCCUUCUGUGCGGAAUAGUCCCGGGAAACUGGGUUUAAUACCGCAUACGCCCUUCGGGGGAAAGAUUUAUCGCAGAGGGAUCGGCCCGCGUCUGAUUAGGUAGUUGGUGGGGUAAUGGCCUACCAAGCCUACGAUCAGUAGCUGGUUUGAGAGGAUGAUCAGCCACACUGGGACUGAGACACGGCCCAGACUCCUACGGGAGGCAGCAGUGAGGAAUCUUGGACAAUGGGGGAAACCCUGAUCCAGCCAUGCCGCGUGAGCGAUGAAGGCCUUAGGGUUGUAAAGCUCUUUCAGUCGUGAAGAUAAUGACGGUAGCGACAGAAGAAGCCCCGGCUAACUCCGUGCCAGCAGCCGCGGUAAUACGGAGGGGGCUAGCGUUGUUCGGAAUUACUGGGCGUAAAGCGCACGUAGGCGUACUAUUAAGUCGGGGGUGAAAUCCCGGGGCUCAACCCCGGAACUGCCUUCGAUACUGGUAGUCUGGAGUUCGAGAGAGGUGAGUGGAAUUCCGAGUGUAGA
rnacentral:rRNA from 1 species